UGUAAGCGUAUACCAAAGUUGUUGCAGUUAAAACGCUCGUAGUCGGAAUUUGGCAGUUCCGGAAGUGUGCACGUCGUGUGCGCACUUUGCGGGGACUGCUUUUGUGGUCUUGCGUAGGAUGAGGCACUUUCAUUAGUGAACGUCCUCACGCAACCACUCUUUACUGUGAGAAAAUCAGAGUGCUCAAAGCAGGCAUUUGCCGUGAAUGUAUUAGCAUGGAAUAAUAGAAUAGGACUCGGUUCUACUUUGUUGGUUUGUUGGGACUGAGUAAUGAUUAAGAGGGACAGUUGGGGGCAUUUGUAUUCCGGCGCUAGAGGUGAAAUUCUUAGAUUGCCGGAAGACAAACUGCUGCGAAAGCGUCUGCCAAGGAUGUUUUCAUUGA
rnacentral:rRNA from 1 species